CUUAAGUGAAUAAGACAUUUAUUCAGCAACAAAGCAACUGUUGUAUUUAUGAAUAGGUCAAGGAUGAAUCGACUCUCACAAUUUAUUUAAAUCCACACAUUCAUUCGCAAAAAAUAACCCACUCUAGCCUAACAUAUAAGGACUGAACCGAUGUGAACGCUAACAGAAUCCUCUACCAACGUUGCGUCUUGGCAAGUCAUCUGAUGUGCGUCAAGGUGAAUUUGUGGUUGCCAUGGGGAGCCCCUUUUCUAUUAAAAACACCAUCACAUCUGGAAUCGUCAGCUCUGCUCAAAGAGGCAGUAAAGAACUGGGUCUCUCCAACUCCAACAUGGACUACAUCCAGACGGACGCUACCAUAGAUUUUGGAAAUUCAGGAGGGCCUCUCAUAAACCUGUGAGAAAGGACCCACAUUUGUGGACUACAGUGGUCUUUUAACACGCAACAAAAAUGUUUGUAAGGAACAUUUUUACCCGAGAGCUUUUCGCAUCUGGAAAUGGUGAAAUCCGGAUUUGCCCAUCAUCUUCUUUUAA